AGCUCCACAAGCGUAUAUUAAUGUUGUUGCAGUUAAAAAGCUCGUAGUUGGAUAUCUGUCAUGGUGGGUCUGGCCCAAUGACUUUUUGGUCGUUGUGUGCCGGCAGCCUUCGGGCGUGCUCGCUUGACAUCCUUCAGGAGAACCGUUCUGCCAUUCACUUGGUUGGGGCGAGGAUCCUGAUCGUUUACUUUGAACAAAUUAGAGUGUUUAACGCAGGCUAUAUGUCGCGAAUAGAUUAGCAUGGAAUAAUAAGAUAGGACUUCGGCACAGGCUUCUGGUCGAUAUCUAUUUUGUUGGUUUCUAGAGCUGAAGUAAUGAUUGAUAGGGAUAGUUGGGGGUGCUUGUAUUGCUGGGCCAGAGGUGAAAUUCUCGGAUUCUAGUAAGACAAACUUUUGCGAAA
rnacentral:rRNA from 1 species